CUAGGCUGAGGCCAGCUGAAAGCUGUAGAUAAAAUUGGCUGCUGACCGUCAAGGCUGCAGAUCCAAAAGGAACUCAGUGUCUCCUGCGGUGAGACUCUUACACUGUUCCGUUCUCCUUCUCAGUACCAACGGUAAUAACAGCAUAGCGACAACAUCACGCAGAAUCUAAUUACCAGGAUCACAGUGCCUCAGGCUUUGAUUUCUGCUGGCAGGCAUCUUCUCAGAUGGAACAGGUUGCAUUCUCCUAUAGGAACAUGGAAAGGGAAAUAUCAAUGCUUGGAGUCCUCGGGGAAGGGGAGACAUGCCCAAAGCAAGAUCCAACUUCUGUGCUACCAUGUACCUGGGGCAGGCAGCACGAGAGGAUUUUUCUCUAAUAAUCACUGUGCCAACCCACUCAAGCUCCUGGAGGUAAAACUGAAAAGGUAAAUUUUUAUUGAAGCAUCAUGUACCAAUGGAAAAGCACCCAGAUCAUAAUUAUACAGCUUAUUCUGUAUAAUUACAUGCACAGUGAGCCUACCCAUGUAACCAGUACCCAGAUUUAGAGGUGGGACAUUCCAAACAACCUGAAAUCAUCCCCUAUCUCCUCUCAGGACCUAUCCUCUGAAAGAAUCAUACUUAAAUUUGGAGGAAUGGAUUUCUGCUACUACCCCCAUGCAAAUUAUGUGCAUUGCAUACUUGAGGGAUGUGAUGACUUUCAGAUACUUCUGAUGCUUUGGGGCAAAUGCAGAUUGAAUAUGCUGUUGGGCAAUUGACUGAUGGUUCCACUAACUGAUAUUCAAGUGACUUGAGAGUUAAUGUAAAGGUAAAUGGCUUCGAUACCAAGACAAAAAAAAACGUGUUUGACUAUAUCUGAGUCAUACAUUCUCAUUACUGUUGGAAAGAAGGAUUUGUAUUUGGCAGAUCUUUUCAGUUACACACUAUAAAGGAAGAAAAUGUUUUGUUCAGCCUGGCAAGAACAGUAUUUUCCCUUUUAGAUUUAUUUUUAAAAAUAAGUUGCUGAUUGAAAAGUCACACAGGUAAAUCAACUUCUAUAGAAGUAAUGACAUUCCCAGACCAGCAGGCUUUAGUUCAAAAUACUAAACCACGCACCGUCUGGAAUAUUCAUUUCCAAAUGCUGUGCCAAUGGGAUCAAACCCUGGCAUGCUCAACCUAUAUUUGAACGAGUAACAUACUUUUAAAAUAGAACUGGUAAAUCAAAACGUUUAGAUUUGGCUCAGAGAUAUACCGACAUGCUUCAUGUUUAGUUUACAUUUUAAUAGGAAGCAUCAGCACCUGGCUGUAUAGUAAUCAUGGAAGAAAGUGAUAAUUGUUACAAACAACAAAAAAACAAAAAACACACAAGGUUGUCCAGAAGCAACCUUGUCUAUGUUUUAAAUGUAUAGUAGAUGGUUUUUGAGUCUAGGUGGGGUUAACAGGACCAUUUUGACUAGGAGAACUGAAGUGUU